rnacentral:rRNA from 1 species
AUUGAACGCUGGCGGCAGGCCUAACACAUGCAAGUCGAACGAGCGGCGGACGGGUGAGUAAUGUCUGGGAAACUGCCUGAUGGAGGGGGAUAACUACUGGAAACGGUAGCUAAUACCGCAUACCAUCGGAUGUGCCCAGAUGGGAUUAGCUAGUAGGUGGGGUAAAGGCUCACCUAGGCGACGAUCCCUAGCUGGUCUGAGAGGAUGACCAGCCGCAUUUGAACUGAGACGCGGUCCAGACUCCAGCGGGAGGGAGAAGUGGGGAAUAAUGCACAAUGGGCGCAAGCCUGAGGCAGCCAUGCCGAGUGUAUGAAGAAGGCCUUCGGGUUGUAAAGUACUUUAAGCGGGGAGGCGUUACCCGCAGAAGAAGCACCGGCUAACUCCGUGCCAGGAGGCGCGGUAAUAC